CACUCCUGCGGGAGGCAGCAGUGGGGAAUAUUGCACAAUGGGCGGAAGCCUGAUGCAGCAACGCCGCGUGCGGGAUGACGGCCUUCGGGUUGUAAACCGCUUUCGCCUGUGACGAAGCGUGAGUGACGGUAAUGGGUAAAGAAGCACCGGCUAACUACGUGCCAGCAGCCGCGGUGAUACGUAGGGUGCGAGCGUUGUCCGGAUUUAUUGGGCGUAAAGGGCUCGUAGGUGGUUGAUCGCGUCGGAAGUGUAAUCUUGGGGCUUAACCCUGAGCGUGCUUUCGAUACGGGUUGACUUGAGGAAGGUAGGGGAGAAUGGAAUUCCUGGUGGAGCGGUGGAAUGCGCAGAUAUCAGGAGGAACACCAGUGGCGAAGGCGGUUCUCUGGGCCUUUCCUGACGCUGAGGAGCGAAAGCGUGGGGAGCGAACAGGCGUAGAAACCCUUGUAGUCCC
rnacentral:rRNA from 1 species